rnacentral:rRNA from 1 species
AACGAACGCUGGCGGCAUGCCUAACACAUGCAAGUCGAACGAAGGCUUCGGCCUUAGUGGCGCACGGGUGCGUAACGCGUGGGAAUCUGCCCUUUGGUUCGGAAUAACAGCUGGAAACGGCUGCUAAUACCGGAUGAUGACGACAGUCCAAAGAUUUAUCGCCAGAGGAUGAGCCCGCGUUGGAUUAGGUAGUUGGUGGGGUAAAGGCCUACCAAGCCGACGAUCCAUAGCUGGUCUGAGAGGAUGAUCAGCCACACUGGGACUGAGACACGGCCCAGACUCCUACGGGAGGCAGCAGUGGGGAAUAUUGGACAAUGGGCGCAAGCCUGAUCCAGCAAUGCCGCGUGAGUGAUGAAGGCCCUAGGGUUGUAAAGCUCUUUUACCCGGGAAGAUAAUGACUGUACCGGGAGAAUAAGCCCCGGCUAACUCCGUG